ACUAACCAUUCUCGGCGCGUAGCGCCAUACGUUGUAAGAUUCCACAUCCAUAUUUAUCUUCUAGUAGGCACCUAAGGCGCAGAGGCGGUAUUAUGUUGUAAAACGGAAAUGCUUGGCCCACACUGUAUGGUGCGACUCAGGCGCAUUAGGAUUUUUAAGAGUGGUAUUGUCGACAUUGGCUUGAGGCAACAUUCGAUUGAUUUAAAAUAUCGUACCGCGCUGUCGAAGUAGCAGUGAUGCCAUUGAAGUGUUAUAAUUAUAAGCACGUUCACAUUUUGUAUUAUACACUAUGUAACAUAAUGUAAUAAAUCUAUGUUGGUACUA